AACGUAGGUUCCGAGCGUUAUCCGGAUUUACUGGGCGUAAAGCGCGUUCAGGCGGUUUGGCAAGUCGGGCAUGAAAUCUCUCGGCUCAACCGGGAGAGGUUGUCCGAUACUGCUGGACUUGAGGGCAGUAGAGGGUGGUGGAAUUCCGGGUGUAGUGGUGAAAUGCGUAGAUAUCCGGAGGAACACCAGUGGCGAAAGCGGCCACUUGGACUGCACCUGACGCUGACACGCGAAAGCUAGGGGAGCGAACGGG
rnacentral:rRNA from 1 species